rnacentral:sRNA from 1 species
UGGGACGACGCGCAGGAAGCGCACUGAAGAACAGGGACACACCGGAUUCCCGCCAGGACGGCGGUCAGAUCAAGGAUGUCGGGACUAGUCUGCAAAACCUCGCUUCGGCGGGGUUUU